UCAAGUUAUUAAGGGUGCAGGGCGGAUGCCUUGGCACUAGGAGCCGAUGAAGGACGUGAUAAGCUGCGAUAAGCUUCGGGGAGUUGCACGUAAACUUUGAUCCGAAGAUUUCCGAAUGAGGAAACUCACUUAGAGUAAUGUCUAAGUAUCAUUAAGUGAAUACAUAGCUUAAUGAGGGGAACUCAGGGAACUGAAACAUCUAAGUACCUGAAGGAAGAGAAAGAAAUUCGAUUCCGUAAGUAGCGGCGAGCGAACGCGGAUUAGCCCAAACCAAUAAAGUUUUCUUUACUGGGGUUGCGGACAUAUCAUAACGAAGAGGUAUCGUAAUUGAAGAGGUUUGGAAAGACCCACCACAGAAGGUAAUAGUCCUGUAUGUUAAACGAGAAGACUUCAGAUAUGAUCCAGAGUACCACGGGACACGUGAAACCCUGUGGGAAGCAGGAGGGACCACCCUCCAAGGCUAAAUACUACCUAGUGACCGAUAGCGUAUAGUACCGUGAGGGAAAGGUGAAAAGAACCCCGGGAGGGGAGUGAAAUAGAACCUGAAACCCUGCACUUACAAGCUGUGGAAGCACAUUUCUUGUGUGACCGCGUACUUUUUGUAGAACGGGCCAACGAGUUACGUUAAGUAGCAAGGUUAAGCACUUAAGGUGCGGAGCCGUAGCGAAAGCGAGUUUUAACUGAGCGUUCAGUUACUUGACGUAGACCCGAAACCGGGCGACCUACCCAUGAGCAGGAUGAAGCGAAAGUAAAAUUUCGUGGAGGUCCGAACCCACGAGCGUUGAAAAGCUCGGGGAUGACUUGUGGGUAGCGGUGAAAUUCCAAUCGAGCCCGGAGAUAGCUGGUUCUCCCCGAAAUAGCUUUAGGGCUAGCCUCAAGGUGAGAGAUACGGAGGUAGAGCACUGAAUGUCCUAGGGGGUAUUGCACCUACCGAAGACUAUCAAACUCCGAAUGCCGUCAUCUUAUACUUGGGAGUCAGACUGUGGGUGAUAAGAUUCAUAGUCGAAAGGGCAACAGCCCAGAUCGUCAGCUAAGGUCCCUAAAUGUAAGUUAAGUGGUAAAGGAUGUGGGAUUGCACAGACAACCAGGAUGUUGGCUUAGAAGCAGCCACUCAUUCAAAGAGUGCGUAAUAGCUCACUGGUCGAGUGAUCCUGCGCCGAAGAUUUCCGGGGCUAAAACUUACUACCGAAGCUACGGCAUCAUUAUGAUGGGUAGGGGAGCUUCCCAUACGGGUUGAAGCAUGACCGUAAGGACAUGUGGACAGUAUGGGAGUGAGAAUGUUGGCAUGAGUAGCGAGAUGUGGGUGAGAAUCCCACAGGCCGUAAACCCAAGGUUUCCAGGGGAAGGUUCGUCCGCCCUGGGUUAGUCGGGACCUAAGCUGAGGCCGAAAGGCGUAGGUGAUGGACAACAGGUUGAUAUUCCUGUACUACCGAUAACCGUUUGAGAGAAGGGAUGACACAGUAGGAUAAGCUAAGCACACUGUUGGUUAUGUGUGCCCAAGCAUUGAGGCAGUCAAAGUAGGCAAAUCCGCUUUGAUAAUGCUGGGAUGUGAUGGGGAGCGAAAUUUAGUAGCGAAGUAGCUGAUUUCACACUGUCAAGAAAAGUCUCUAUCGAGGUUAAAGGUACCCGUACCGCAAACCGACACAGGUGGGUGAGGAGAGUAUCCUAAGGCCAGCGAGAGAACUGUUGUUAAGGAACUCGGCAAAAUGACCCCGUAACUUAGGGAUAAGGGGUGCCACCAUCCGGUGGCCGCAGAGAAUAGGCCCAAGCGACUGUUUACCAAAAACAUAGGUUUCUGCUAAGUCGCAAGACGAUGUAUAGGAGCUGACGCCUGCCCGGUGCUGGAAGGUUAAGGGGAUCUGUUAGAGCAAUCGAAGCAGUGAACUUAAGCCCCAGUAAACGGCGGCCGUAACUAUAACGGUCCUAAGGUAGCGAAAUUCCUUGUCGGGUAAGUUCCGACCCGCACGAAAGGCGUAACGAUUUGGGCACUGUCUCAACAACAGACUCGGUGAAAUUGUAAUUCCGGUGAAGAUGCCGGAUACCUGCGACAGGACGGAAAGACCCCAUGGAGCUUUACUGUAGCUUGACAUUGGGUCUUGGUACUACAUGUACAGGAUAGGUGGGAGGCUUUGAAACCAGGACGCCAGUUUUGGCGGAGCCAUCCUUGGGAUACCACCCUUGUAGUACUGGGACUCUAACCAUAGGCCAUGAAUCUGGUCUUGGGACACUGUCAGGUGGGCAGUUUGACUGGGGCGGUCGCCUCCCAAAAGGUAACGGAGGCGCUCAAAGGUUCUCUCAGUACGGUCGGAAAUCGUACGUAGAGUGUAAAGGCAAAAGAGAGCUUGAUUGCAAGACAUACAGGUCGAGCAAGGAUGAAAAUCGGACUUAGUGAUCCGGUGGUUCUGCGUGGAAGGGCCAUCGCUCAACGGAUAAAAGCUACCCUGGGGAUAACAGGCUUAUCUCCCCCAAGAGUCCACAUCGACGGGGAGGUUUGGCACCUCGAUGUCGGCUCAUCACAUCCUGGGGCUGUAGUAGGUCCCAAGGGUUGGGCUGUUCGCCCAUUAAAGUGGUACGCGAGCUGGGUUCAGAACGUCGUGAGACAGUUCGGUCCCUAUCCGUCGCAGGCGUAGGAAAUUUGAGAAGACCUGUCCUUAGUACGAGAGGACCGGGAUGGACGUACCUCUGGUGUACCAGUUGUUCUGCCAAGGGCAUGGCUGGGUAGCUAUGUACGGAAUGGAUAAGCGCUGAAAGCAUCUAAGCGCGAAGCCAACUUCAAGAUAAGAUUUCCCACCGCAAGGGUAAGACCCCAGAAAGACUAUCUGGUUGAUAGGUCGAAGGUGUAAGUGCAGCAAUGUAUUUAGCUUAUCGAUACUAAUAGGUCGAGGACUUGACCAA
rnacentral:rRNA from 1 species